GAUGAACGCUGGCGGCGUGCUUAACACAUGCAAGUCGAACGGAGUUAUCAUUUUUGAAGCGAUUAGCUUGCUAAGAGUGGAAAUGUUGGUAACUUAGUGGCGGACGGGUGAGUAACGCGUGGAGAACCUGCCUUACACAGGGGGAUAACACUUAGAAAUAGGUGCUAAUACCGCAUAAGCGCACAGGACCGCAUGGUCCGGUGUGAAAAACUGAGGUGGUGUAAGAUGGCUCCGCGUCUGAUUAGCUUGUUGGUAGGGUAACGGCCUACCAAGGCGACGAUCAGUAGCCGGCCUGAGAGGGUGAACGGCCACAUUGGGACUGAGACACGGCCCAA
rnacentral:rRNA from 1 species